rnacentral:rRNA from 1 species
GAAUAUUGGUCAAUGGGCGAGAGCCUGAACCAGCCAUGCCGCGUGCAGGAAGACGGCCUUCUGGGUUGUAAACUGCUUUUAUACGGGAAGAAAAGGCUCAUGCGUGAGUAACUGACGGUACCGUAUGAAUAAGCACCGGCUAACUCCGUUCCAGCAGCCGCGGUAAUACGGAGGGUGCAAGCGUUGUCCGGAUUUAUUGGGUUUAAAGGGUACGUAGGCGGCUUUUUAAGUCAGUGGUGAAAUCCUGCGGCUUAACUGUAGAACUGCCAUUGAUACUGGGAAGCUUGAGUACUGUUAAGGUAGGCGGAAUUGAUGGUGUAGCGGUGAAAUGCAUAGAUACCAUCAGGAACACCGAUUGCGAAGGCAGCUUACUGGGCAGAGACUGACGCUAAGGUACGAAAGCGUGGGGAGCGAACAGG